rnacentral:lncRNA from 1 species
AUCAACUUCAAGCUCUUCUGAACUGAAUUUGAAUUGCUUUUUUUUCUUUUUCUUUUUAUAGCGGCAGUCGUAUUAUUAGAGCAAGGUUGUUUGCCUUGCCAGAAAAUUUCCUCGCUCCCAUCAGCAGAGGCAGCUUUCUGACACGCAGCGGUUUCACCGAUCGUAUUUCAAGUGACCCUUGUAAUUGGUGAGCAUCAACCGGCGGUGCAGUUCCAGCAUUAAACUUUAACUUCUCUCAUUUAGGGUCUUAAUUGUGCUUUGAAAUGUUUGAUGGCUUGGCUGACCUUUUUUUCUGGGUUAGCCGAGGCUGAGAUUUGUCUGCCAGAAGAGAAGCCGCAGAGGAAACCUGGAAGCAUGGCACCUCAUUGGUUUCAGUUUGAUAGCGUGCUCGUGUGUCUCUUCUUUUAGAAAUGUCCCCAAACUUCUUAGAAGUUUCAAAUGGAGUGUUAGGAAAAACAUGACACCGAGAGCACCAAGAGCUUUACAGAGUAGACAGUGAACGUAAGCUGAAGUUCUACUGAUAUGAAAAGCAGGAAUUGGAUGCUGUAAUCCAUUUUUGCACUUAUAAAUUAUUUCUAAACCCCUUUCCCUGAAGGAAGUCUCCCAGCAGUACAGAGAUUUCUCUUGCUAGCGGUCCUACACUAAGUCCUACACCAGAAGAUUUCCCUGUUUUGGACACCUACGCUUUUCUCUGAAAACAGCAAAAAAGAGUUUUUUGUUUGGUCCAAUCCAAUACCUCCUAAGCAGAGGGGAUGAGAUUCAUACGAUGGAUACAGAGCUUAGUGCCACAUGCCUUGCUGGGGACGUAGCCCUCCUCGCUGUGUGAUGCAAGAUGGUGGAGACUCAUCCAGCCCUGUUUGUGCAGGAGGAGAGGAGCAAAUCGAACACAGGAGUGGCAGCAGAGGUUCCCGGAGAUGCUCUGAGCCUCGUGUUUCAUUUCUGAAGGAAGCUUGUUAAUAAUGAAGGGGAGAAAUUGAUCAGUGGAUCCACAGAAGGGGGAAAACUAGCAGGUAUGUUGCAAGAAUUCAGACAGAUGGACAGAUCUCUGCAGCUCGUGCAGGUAAAGCCUGCAUAUGGUAGGCUCAAGUAGUGCCAUCAUUUUAGUUGUAUUUCUCUGAACCUUGUAAAUAUUUCUGUCUGUUGGAAAAGAAGGCAAUUAUAUUUUUUUAUAGAAGCUCUACAAUGGUACUGUUUAGGAAAAAAAAAAAAAAAAGGAGGGAAAAGAUAUAUUGGUAAGUCAAAGUAGUUGCAGCCACAGUCGUUCUCAAUAAUCCAGCAAGUCACUACAUCUGAACAGC